AUCUUCUUUUUUUUAUCAGAUUAACUAAAGGUUUAUCAAAUUAUUAGUCUUUUCAAAGAACCAACUUUCAGUUUUAGUUUUCAUUGCUUUUUAUUGGUUCUAGAUUAACUAUUUUAUCUCUAAUUUUUUUAUUUCUGUUCUUUUGUAACCAUUUUAAAUUUGCUUAUUUAUUGAUUUUCUAGUCUUUAAAAACACAUAUCAGUUAUUUUUUUAAACCCUUACCUUCUUUCUUAGAAUACUGAGUAUGGGUUCUAAGGCAGAAGAGUGGUAAGAGCUAGGCAGUGGGGGUCAAGUGACUUGCUAUGGGUCACAUAGCUAGGAAGUGUGUGAGGUCAAAUCUAAACCCAGGACCUCCUGUCUCUGGGACUGGCUCUCAAUCCACUGAUCUACCCAGCUGCCCCCUUCAUAUCAGUUUAUUAAUUUCUACUUUUUCUAUUAUGUUAGCAUAUAUUUUUAGGGAUAUUAUUCCCCUCCCCUGGGAACUACUUUAUUUGUAUCACAGAAAUUUUGCUGGAUUUAAAGCAUCUCAAUCUUUUCCAAUACUGGACAAUUCAUGGUUUACCAGCUGAGGUCUCUGCUCCAACUGAUUUUUGAAUGGACACAACUGGCCCCUCUCUGGAUGGAGAGACAAUUCAGUGGACUUAAUACAGUCAGAAUAGAAGAGGAUGUAUUUGUUGUUAAAGACCAAAUAACUCCUUUGUUUGAUUCUGGAUCAACAGAAGCUACAAGACCUAUUCCUGCCCUUCCUUUCUGGCUCCAUGUGGCCACAGAAGCAAAACCAAUGUCUGCAGUGCAGCCUUGUUAAAAGAUGCUUUUGUCAAUGGUUUAGUGAAAGUCUGUAUUUAAAGAGAUAUUUUGUUCAGGAGAGUUGCUAGAAUUCAUUGCUUUGUAAAGAAAAAUGAAGUGUAUUGGGGUGAAAAGCAAUUGGCUUAAAUUUUUUUGAAUCAAAG
rnacentral:lncRNA from 1 species